rnacentral:lncRNA from 1 species
AUGGGGGUCCCCGAUGGAGACGCCCGCACCCUCGGACCCCGCAUCGCCCCUCGCGUCCGCCGCCCCCGGCCCGUCCCCGGCAGCUCGCCCACCCCGGCCCCGGGCCCGCCGCGGACUCACCUGACGCCGCAGCUCGGGGUCUCCGGUUCUCGCCGCCGCAGCCGGCUCGGCAGGAACCACAGAGGAGGGGGAGCGAGGGGCGGGGCCGGGCGAGGGGCGGGGCCUGCGCGCACGCGUCCUCGGGGCGGGGCGGGGCGGGCUCCGCAGCUGGGCCGGCGCUCUGUCCCGCGCACCUGGCGCUCCCGGAACGUGCUGCGCGUCGUCGUCGUCUCCAGGGCCCAUGUGGCCAAGGAAGCAGUUAUCCACAUGCCACACAGUAGGGCUGACUCUUCACUUAGGAGCUGCCUUUGUGCUGCCAGUAGAGGCAGUAACCGUGGUCUUCAAGAAAAUAUUCUCCCCCUGAGCGCUGAGAACAUCCAGCACCAAGAGGAGAGGAGAUGCCAAAGCGGGACUGAAAGAACUAAAGGCUCAGAUGGAGGAAUCUCUUCUGGGCCCUCCAACCUUCUGCAUAUUGCAUGA